CUGGAUUCUCUAGAAAUGCCAUGUAUGUUGUACUUUUUGGGGAGUAUUGCAACUAUCAGCUUUCGCGUGUGCAUACAUACGUUGAAUUUGCACGUGUAUAAAUUUUCUUUGUUGCUGUGUUUACCUGUUAAAUGUUUAGAGUUAUUGGGUUUAUACCUUAUCGGUAUGAGUGUUACUGCUCAAGUUUAUGUUUCAGCCUGCUGGGAUUAGGUCAGGUUUAUGUUAGCUAUCACAUGUCAAAUUGAAGCUGACUUGAUAAUUGGAAUAUGUCGGGUGUAGGAGUUUAUUUAUCUAGUUACAUUGAACAAUCUAGUCCAUUUCAACAGAUAUUUCCUGGACCCUUCCAGAUAUGCAUCUCUGUGCUGUAGCACAAACAUAAAAGGAGGGAUUUUAACAUAAGAGACGAAGCUGAACAAUGUUGGUACAAAGUCAUAAUGUAGGGCCAUCAGGAUUUUUUUUUUUAUUGUUAAUAGUUGGGUUGAAUUGUGAGAUUAUUGUGUUAAAACAGUUCAUAGUUGCCUAAGCAAAGUAUUAUCUCAACAUUUUGGGAAGCAACAAUAUGGGCAGGAAUGGAGUUUAAUGUCUGUAUGCAAGUCAUCGUACACUGAUGGGCUGAACUACCUUUGGUUGGAUAAUUUUUUGCUCAUUUA